rnacentral:rRNA from 1 species
CACAAGCGGUGGAGUAUGUGGUUUAAUUCGAUGCAACGCGAAGAACCUUACCUGGUCUUGACAUCCCGGAGACCCUUAGGAAACUAGGGGGUGCUUCCAUCUGGAAGAAUCUGGAGACAGGUGCUGCAUGGCUGUCGUCAGCUCGUGUCGUGAGAUGUUGGGUUAAGUCCCGCAACGAGCGCAACCCUUGCCUUUAGUUGCCAGCAGUUCGGCUGGGCACUCUAAAGGGACUGCCGGUGUUAAACCGGAGGAAGGUGGGGAUGACGUCAAGUCCUCAUGGCCUUUAUGACCAGGGCUACACACGUACUACAAUGGCCGAUACAAAGGGCAGCGACACUGCGAGGUGAAGCCAAUCCCGUAAAAUCGGUCUCAGUCCGGAUUGGAGUCUGCAACUCGACUCCAUGAAGUUGGAAUCGCUAGUAAUCGUGGAUCAGCAUGCCACGGUGAAUACGUUCCCGGGCCUU